GACGAACGCUGGCGGCGUGCUUAACACAUGCAAGUCGAACGGAAAGGCCCCUUUGGGGGUACUCGCGUGGCGAACGAGCGAGUAACACGUGAGUAACCUGCCCUUGACUUCGGGAUAACUUCAGGCAACUGGGGCUAAUACCGGAUAGGAAUCCUUGCCGCAUGGUGGGGGUUGGAAAGCUUCGGCGGUUUGGGGUGGACUCGCGGCUGAUCAGUCUGUUGGUGGGGGAGUGGCUUACCAAGGCUUUGACGGGUAGCCGGCCUGGGGGGGUGACCGGCCAAAUGGGACUUAGAUACGGGCCAGACUCCUACGGGAGGCAGGCGGGGGGAAAAUUGCACAAUUGGCGGGAGCCCGAAUCAACAACGCCGGGGGCGGGAUGACGGCCUUCGGGUUGUAAACCGCUUUCCGCAGGGGCGAAGCUGGUGGUGACGGUACCUGCAGAAGAAGCACCGGCUAACUACGUG
rnacentral:rRNA from 1 species